CACAGCAGCAUUAAGAGCAGAGCAGCCUGCUGUGAGCAAGGAGAAUUGUGAGCCGUGCGUAUAUUGCAUCGAGCAGCUCAGACAACGCUUACACCAGCAUGGGAGGUGAUGCCACGACAGCCACCGCACAUCUGCAGGCAAAACUGAGGCAGAGUGGCAUAGGAGGGGUCACGGUGGACAUCCCAAAACACCUUCCUUCAAUAGAAACUCAUUCCCUGUUGGUAUUCUGAGCCAGAGGAAGACUACUAGCUACAGAACUAAAAAUGAGUUAUUGAUCAGAGCCAAACUAGUGUGACUUGUUAUGGGCAAACAGAAUAAAGUCCAAGCUGCUAAUGUCCAAACACGGAGUUUUAAAAGGGCCAGUUUCUGAAGCUGAAAACAUUCAGCUUUGGGCUAAAUCAGCUGGGAGAGAAACGCAAAUAGAAGAAAUGGAACAGUUGGGAAACUGGAGGUUUUCUUGGUGCUGAAAUAUCACAACUGAGAAAGAAGUUUGGUUAGAGGGAAAAUAAAGCUGUUGCAAAAAUUAAAUAUCAAAUACGCAGAUGUGCUCUCUGUAUGGAUUUGUGUAUAUGGAGAUAUGAGGGGGAAGAGAGAAGCCAACAACAAUAACUAAUGUGACAGCUAAUUUAAUUGAUUUCAACUGCAGAAAAUUGACCAGAGGACAGGAAUACAUUUGUGGACAAUAGAUUUAAGGACAAUAAGAUGUCUUUUUUAAACCGAGUCAAAACAAAGGAUAUCAUAAAGCAGUUCUGGUCCAUUUCUACACAGAAAUAGUGGCAAAAUAAAUAUCCAGCAAUGAUUCAAAGAAUGCAGAUGUAGCCAAUGAAUAUGAUGAGUCUAGACUUUGAACAGUGACGACGUAGAUUUCCUUCUCAAUUGGAAUCUUAGGAAACUUUAAAAAAAAAAAUUAACAGAAGUGUAAGAAGUCCAAAGGCAGCAAUUUAGAUUCAAGAGACAAAAAGAAAAAAAAAAUAGCCAACUUUUCAAAGCAUUAAAAUGUUAAAAGAGCUGGCAAAAAAGACUGUGAAUGACUUUGAUAAGUUUUGGGAAACAGGUUUCAUAGGUCUAGAAGCAAAGUGGCAUUGUGCCAGUAUUAAAAUGAGCAAACACAGGAGCUUGUGUAGCACUGCAGCAAGAUACCCAGAGAGCUGGUGGAGCCUUCAGUCCCAAGCUCGUCAGUAUUCAGCCCUACAGAGCCAAGCUGACCUGAUCGAGCAUUGCUGAAGGUCCUGCUCCAACCAGGAGGCUGGCCUCCAGUUCUCCAGUGUCCUUUCCAAUCAUUUCUAUGACUGCAAACGUGAUGCAGGUAAGUGUAUGGCUGCAGGGCGGCGUAGGCAAAUGGACUGAGGCAAGAAUUAAUGAGAAUGAAUUAAAAGGGAUAGUACAAUUCACAUCAGUGAGCCUAGGUAACGUAGAAAAUGGAUCGAAUUAGAAUAAUGACAGCUUUUUUUUCAGUGAGAUUACAAGUUUGCAUGAAAGAGGUUACCAGGGUUGAUGUAAUUUACUUGGACUUCUUCAGGGCAUUUUAGUUCAUGGCAUAGGGUGACAUAAAACAAGCAUGGAUCUCAUUAACUGGAUUAAACACUGGCUAACUAGUGCAUCUCAGGAUAUGACACUGUAAGCUAAGAGUCACCAUUUGGCAGGUGCUGUUUUUGGUGCAGCCCCUUCAAAUCAAACUCAGUAAGACGCACAAGAUUAUUCCCACUGAAGCCUGAAGAUGGCACAAAGACGGAACUACAAAGUAAUGAAGAGGAUAUAUAUCUCUUUGGUGCAGAACAACAUGGGUUACCUGGGCUCUUGCAAACAAUAUGCAUUUUAAUGCAGAAACGUGUGAAUCACAGCUGUGGAACAAAACAGGAGACCUCCUGACAACAGGGGAUUUCUACCAACGCAAACCUGAAAUCUGGAGAGGACUUGGAGGUCAUGGAUAUAUGUGCCAGUGUGAAAUCCAGUGUCAAGGGUAACAAGAUCCCGGGCUGUACAAACAGGAAAUAUCAAACAGGAAAAGGGAGGUUGCAUUAUCCCAGCCUUUCACACCAAGACAACUGCUGUUGGGAUCACUGCGUGCAGCCCAGGCGCUGUGAGCUGGGCAGGAAGGAGCCGGGAGGGCGCUGAGAAGAGCCAGAGGAUGACUGCAGCACUCAAAAGGUGCCAGGCUUCAGAGCUGCCAGGAUGCAGCCUGCUUGAGGGGUGAAAGAGCAGGUCAUGGGUGAUUUGGCCAUCAUUUGGUCAUUGGGGAAAACUGCAAGAAACACUGGUAAUGCAAGAUAUAUUGCUGUGGUGGUGUGGGCUGUAGGAGACUCGAGGGGACUAGGCAACCUGUACCACAUUACUCCAGCCUUCUGAGCUAUGAAUCCAUACACGCCAGCAUGGACGAAAGCAUGCAGUGUGAGCGCAUACACUGCCCUGCCUGGAAUCGUAAUGCAGAAUGGGAUCAUCCCGAACCCAUCCCAUCUAUUUGGAACUCAUCCAAACUUUAAAUGUUCUGCGAGUUCAGACACAAGAGAAACAUUUCUGCUCUUUCUGCUUUGCCCUGUGAUGAUAGCAGAAGAGCAGCAGAGACUGGGUGGGAAGAAAGUCGAGAGGACCCCGCCAAAUGAUGUCCUAGAAAAUAAUGACCAACCUUGGUGACUUGUUUCUCCCUCCUGGACCACACAGAGUCCUGACACCAAAAAAGCCCUUCUGCAUCCAGAGAGAGGAACAUCUCUGAUUCUUGACAAGCCAGGGUGCCAGAUGUUGGCAGUGCUGUGGAGCAUGCUGGCUGUUUGCCAGUCUCUUGAGGUUGGCAUGUUAAUUACACCUAAACAUACAGAAGAUUUGAAUCAGAUCUAACUGCUCACAAUUAUAACUUUAUAUUUGGACAGCAAAAGCACUCAGAAGUUCAUAAGGCAUGGGGUAAAACAAAAAUACACUUUCAGAGCUGUGGAGAAACAGCCUGAAGAACGUCCUAAAAAAAUGAAGAGUUUUAAAAGUGUGCCCUUCUAAUCUCUUAGCCCAUUUUAACUUGGUGAAACUGAUACACGUGCCAUAUCACAUAGCUGAGCCUCUCCUGGAGUCUUUUUUUUGGAGAUGACUUCUUACAGGUGAGAUUUUCUUGUUCACAACCUCUCUCCCAGCCUUGCAAAGCUAUAUUUCAGUGAUCCCUGAAGUUGUUUCCAGGGGUCAGAGACAGGCAAUAACACAGUGAAGAGGGGUUUCAUCUGAUACCUCUUCAUACCACACCUUCAUCCCUUCCAAGUCUGAGUUUCAUCUUUACACUAGCUGCAGAUCUUAAUAUCCUCUUCUUGUCCAUGGCCUGCAUGGCUCACACCUCUCCUGGCUGAUCUCCCUGCACAGCCAUGGGCUGUUUCAUAUUCCAUGCUAACAGCAAAUUUGAUCCUGACAUCACUUUCACCCACAGCCUGUUUGACAGACAGAAAUGAAGAAAAGCACAUGGUAGGGACAGUUAAUUGCCUGUGGCGUAGCUGAUUAAAAAGCUUUUAGAAAGAGCUUGGAACAAAUUUUUCUUCAAGAAGGAAGGACAGGUCUCCUGAUCAAAGCCAGGAGAUUCCUUUCUGUGACCUAAACUAAUGAUACAGAUGUUCUAGAUAGCCUAAUUCAUCACUGUUUUCACUGCUCAGAUGAACUAGACAAAUAGGACGUCCACAAAUAGGUCCAGAAACCAUUCCAAGUAACGACAGCCAUACCCAAGCCCUCCUCUGGUCCUGUGUGUCUAUCAGUCAACAGGCACGAAAAAUGAUGCAGGGCGAGGUCCUUUGCAAAACCUCAUUCCCCUCUGAAAACUCUAACAAAGGGUUCAGUCUUGAGCUGGAAAUGGAUCUGCAAACAAGGUGAAUCCGUUGUGUCCCUGAACAGUUCUAAACAGUUCAGCAAAGCCGUCUUGAAGUUACCUGUGCCCUUCAGCAUAGCUGUUGCUGUCAUUGCAGUAUUGCCUGAGAGUUUGAAAGAAAACAAGAGACGUCAUUCGGCAAAAGCCACUUCUGAAAAAGCCGCAAUGUUUUCUGUCAUCUUGCAAGCAAGAACAGAACUAAACAAUUCAUUGUCUAAACAGGAGAACUAAAGUGCCUAUGGGGGGAAAAAAAAAAAAACAACACACCUUGCCAUUUUCAGGCCCUGCAAUCUUUCAGCAUUAAAAAUGUAAAAGUGUACUAACUUCCAAAGCACAAAAAAAAAUUUACCAAACAUCUGGGAAGCUCCAGAUAAUUAUUGACUAUGCUCUUUAUCAAAAAAAAAUAAAUAAAA